UCACUUACCUGGUUGGAGUGAGUCAUAGAUCAAGCAGUAUGAUCACUUAGGGUGGAGCAGGUCCUUUGAACACUGAUGUCUGUAAAGCCCUACAGCUUCCCGCUUGGGAUAGCUGACUACUAAAUUUCUGGCAGUGGGGACGUGCGCUCGUCGCCUCCCCG